rnacentral:lncRNA from 1 species
CGGCGCGCGCCUUUGCGACGGCGGAGUUGCGUUCUCCUCAGCACAGACGCGGAGAGCACCGCGAGGGCGGAGCUGCGUUCUCCUUUGCACAGAUUUCGGUGGUACUGCGAAGGCAGAGCAGAGUUCUGCUCAGGUCAGACCCGGGCGGGCGGGCUGAGGGUACUGCGAGGGCGGAGCUGCGUUCUGCUCAGCACAGACCUGGGGGUCACCGUAAAGGUGGAGCAGCAUUCUGCUAAGCACAGACGUUGGGGGCACUGCCUGGCUUUGGGACAACUCGGGGCGCAUUGACAGUGAAUAAAAUCUUUCCCGGUUGCAGCCGUGAAUAAUCAAGGUCAGAGACCAGUUAGAACGGUUCAGUGUGGAAAAUGGGAAACUAAAAGCCCCUCUGAAUCCUGGGCACCGAGAUUCUCCCAAGGCAAGGCGAGGGGCUGCAUUGCAGGGUCCAGUUGCAGCGUUGAAACACAAAUGCAGCAUUCCUAAUGCACCCAUGACAGCUAAAAUAUAACACCCACAUUGCUCAUGUGGUUAGGGUGAGGGUGAG